GACGAACGCUGGCGGCGUGCUUAACACAUGCAAGUCGAACGGUGAAGCGCCUUCCUUUUUGGUGGGUGUGGAUGAGUGGCGAACGGGUGAGUAACACGUGAGUAACCUGCCCCCUUCUUCUGGAUAACCGCAUGAAAGUGUGGCUAAUACGGGAUAUUCUGGGUCUGUCGCAUGAUGGGUCUGGGAAAGAUAUUGUUUCGGUGGGGGAUGGGCUCGCGGCCUAUCAGCUUGUUGGUGGGGUGAUGGCCUACCAAGGCGGUGACGGGUAGCCGGCCCGAGAGGGUGGACGGUCACACUGGGACGGAGACACGGCCCAGACUCCUACGGGAGGCAGCAGUGGGGAAUAUUGCACAAUGGGCGCAAGCCUGAUGCAGCGACGCCGCGUGAGGGAUGGAGGCCUUCGGGUUGUGAACCUCUUUCGCCAGUGAAGCAGGCCUGCCUCGUUUGUGGGUGGGUUGACGGUAGCUGGAUAAGAAGCGCCGGCUAACUACGUG
rnacentral:rRNA from 1 species